rnacentral:rRNA from 1 species
UCGACCUAACACAUGACAGUACGAACCUAACCCGUUCGGGGUUAGUGGCGCGACGGGUGCGUAACACGUGGGAAUCUGCCCUUUGCUUCGGAAUAACAGUUAGAAAUGACUGCUAAUACCGGAUAAUGUCUUCGGACCAAAGAUUUAUCGGCAAAGGAUGAGCCCGCGUAGGAUUAGCUUGUUGGUGAGGUAAAGGCUCACCAAGGCGACGAUCCUUAGCUGGUCUGAGAGGAUGAUCAGCCACACUGGGACUGAGACACGGCCCAGACUCCUACGGGAGGCAGCAGUGGGGAAUAUUGGACAAUGGGCGAAAGCCUGAUCCAGCAAUGCCGCGUGAGUGAUGAAGGCCUUAGGGUUGUAAAGCUCUUUUACCAGGGAUGAUAAUGACAGUACCUGGAGAAUAAGCUCCGGCUAACUCCGUG